rnacentral:lncRNA from 1 species
GCAAAGUCCACAUAGUGCAGAGGAGAAUUGUUACAGAGCAAUGCUAGAUGAAGGAGCUGAGGCUGGAGAAGUUAAGAGACCCCUGCUAGAUAGGAAGGCACGUGAGAAGUAUACUGCUCUGUCUCCUGUGGAGUAAAAAGACUUUGGCGUUCUCAGAAGAAAACCAAAUGAGAUCACACGAAUGAGACUGCUGGGGAUAGGGAAGCUUAAGGGAGGAGUGCUGUGAAGAAUGUUGUCAUUUCUUCUGGACUGCUACUAAGUAAAAGUUAUCUUCUCACCUCACUCACCAAUUCCUGCCUUAGUACCACAGCAAUUAUCUUUGCCUAAACACAUUAACGGGGAAAAAUGUUCAGGCUUUUGGAGAAGAGCUACAAGUGGUGGACGGUGGCCACAGUGAAGAGUGGGGUAACUUAGACUAAACACUAUAGGAGCCAUCAGAAGAAAUUUUUCCAAACUGCAGCUUAUUACAUGGGUCACACAAGGACAGUUUGCAGCAUAAGGACAGCUAGCUGCUUAUACAAGAACAUGUGCCUGACACAGUCUCACAAGCCCAGUCCAAAACUACAAGGGCCUAACUGUAACUCCAGGAUUACAAGUCCUACCUAAUAACUAUUGACACUCGCCAGUCAGAACUCACCAGCUCUUUUGUUGCUGCCAGCACCAAUAAGCUUUCUUCCAAAACCAACGCAUAGCCUCCGCCUUUCCCAAUAAACUCUAACCUUUUCCUUUAUUCUGUGGACACUCCAGAGGCCAAUCUGGUCUGUAUAUAUGUCCCAGAUUGCAGUCCUACUUCUUGUAUAUUAUUCUCAAAU